rnacentral:lncRNA from 1 species
ACAGAAUCUCCAGAUCAUCCUGACGCAGUGGCACUACUGGCUGAAGUGAGGAGCAGUCCUUAUGGGUUGUAUACAGGAGGCUGAUUCCUGAUUUUUGUUCCUCUCUUUACUUAUUAUAUUGUAGUGAUGAUCCACAGGCUUGUUGUGGAGAUCCUUUUUUGAUGUACUGUUGUCUAAGGCCUUUCCCUUCUUGAACUCAUUUAUUUGAU